rnacentral:rRNA from 1 species
UGGGGAAUAUUGCACAAUGGAGGGAACUCUGAUGCAGCGACGCCGCGUGAACGAAGAAGGCUUUCGAGUCGUAAAGUUCUUUUAUAUGGGAAGAUAAUGACGGUACCAUAAGAAAAAGCCCCGGCUAACUACGUGCCAGCAGCCGCGGUAAUACGUAGGGGGCUAGCGUUGUCCGGAAUCACUGGGCGUAAAGGGUUCGCAGGCGGAAAUGCAAGUCAGGUGUAAAAGGCAGUAGCUUAACUACUGUAAGCAUUUGAAACUGCAUAUCUUGAGAAGAGUGGAGGUAAGUGGAAUUUUUAGUGUGGCGGUGAAAUGCGUAGAUAUUAAAAAGAAUACCGGUGGCGAAGGCGACUUACUGGGCUCAUUCUGACGCUGAGGAACGAAAGCGUGGGUAGCAAACAGG